CGGAGGGUGCAAGCGUUAUCCGGAUUCACUGGGUUUAAAGGGUGCGUAGGUGGGUUUGUAAGUCAGUGGUGAAGUCUCCGAGCUUAACUCGGAAACUGCCAUUGAUACUAUAGAUCUUGAAUUAUCUGGAGGUGAGCGGAAUAUGUCAUGUAGCGGUGAAAUGCUUAGAUAUGACAUAGAACACCAAUUGCGAAGGCAGCUCACUACGGAUAUAUUGACACUGAGGCACGAAAGCGUGGGGAUCAAACAGGAUUAGAUACCCUGGUAGUCCACGCCCUAAACGAUGGAUACUCGACAUCAGCGAUACACUGUUGGUGUCUGAGCGAAAGCAUUAAGUAUCCCACCUGGGAAGUACGACCGCAAGGUUG
rnacentral:rRNA from 1 species